rnacentral:rRNA from 1 species
AGUGAACGCUGGCGGCAGGCCUAAUACAUGCAAGUCGAACGGCAGCACAGCAGAGCUUGCUCUGUGGGUGGCGAGUGGCGGACGGGUGAGGAAUACGUGGGAAUCUGCCCAGUCGUGGGGAUAACGUAGGGAAACUUACGCUAAUACCGCAUGCGCCUUCGGGGAAAGCCGGGGACCUUCGGGCCUGGCGCGAUUGGAUGAGCCCACGUCGGAUUAGCUAGUUGGCGGGGUAAAGGCCCACCAAGGCGACGAUCCGUAGCUGGUCUGAGAGGAUGAUCAGCCACACUGGAACUGAGACACGGUCCAGACUCCUACGGGAGGCAGCAGUAGGGAAUAUUGGACAAUGGGCGCAAAGCCUGAUCCAGCCAUGCCGCGUGAGUGAAGAAGGCCCUCGGGUUGUAAAGCU